UACGAAGGGGGCUAGCGUUGCUCGAAGAUCACUGGGCGUAAAGGGUGCGUAGGCGGGUCUUUAAGUCAGGGGUGAAAUCCUGGAGCUCAACUCCAGAACUGCCUUUGAUACUGGGGAUCUCGAGUCCGGAAGAGGUGAGUGGAACUCCGAGUGUAGAGGUGAAAUUCGUAGAUAUUCGGAAGAACACCAGUGGCGAAGGCGGCUCACUGGACUGGUAUUGACGCUGAGGUGCGAAAGCUAGGGGAGCGAAUGGG
rnacentral:rRNA from 1 species